rnacentral:rRNA from 1 species
CCUACGGGGGGCAGCAGUGAGGAAUAUUGGUCAAUGGACGAGAGUCUGAACCAGCCAAGUAGCGUGAAGGAUGACUGCCCUAUGGGUUGUAAACUUCUUUUAUAUGGGAAUAAAAUGUUCCACGUGUGGGAUUUUGUAUGUACCAUAUGAAUAAGGAUCGGCUAACUCCGCGCCAGCAGCCGCGGUAAUACGGAGGAUCCGAGCGUUAUCCGGAUUUAUUGGGUUUAAAGGGAGCGUAGGUGGAUUGUUAAGUCAGUUGUGAAAGUUUGCGGCGCAACCGUAAAAUUGCAGUUGAAACUGGCAGUCUUGAGUACAGUAGAGGUGGGCGGAAGUCGUGGUGUAGCGGUGAAAUGCUUAGAUAUCACGAAGAACUCCGAUUGCGAAGGCAGUUCACUGGACUGCAACUGACACUGAGGCUCGAAAGUGUGGGUAUCAAACAGGAUUAGAUACCCUGGUAGUC